UACGAAGGGGGCUAGCGUUGCUCGGAAUCACUGGGCGUAAAGGGUGCGUAGGCGGGUUUUUAAGUCAGAGGUGAAAUCCUGGAGCUCAACUCCAGAACUGCCUUUGAUACUGAAAAUCUUGAGUAUGGGAGAGGUGAGUGGAACUGCGAGUGUAGAGGUGAAAUUCGUAGAUAUUGGGAAGAACACCAGUGGCGAAGGCGGCUAACUGGUCCAGUACUGACGCUGAGGUGCGAAAGCGUGGGGAGCAAACAGG
rnacentral:rRNA from 1 species